rnacentral:lncRNA from 1 species
GUUUGGUAUCAUUCUUUUUUAUUGUUCAGUUAUAUUUUUCAUCCUGCUGUUUAUUUGCAAUGUUUUUCUAUUAUAUUAUGCAUAUGAAGGUGUUUCAAUAAAGGUGCAAACAUUAGCAAACACAUAGAAAGACCAUUUACCGUAAAUAUGGCAUUAAUCGCACCCUUCAGUUUUACCCUACAUGGUCAGGUUGAGAUCGACAAAGGGCCUACCUCCUUGAUGAGAUAUCCAAACACACCGGUACACAUUUAGUCAGGGCUCUUUUUGCCCCCAUACCAUUCAUUGCCUGUAUGCCAUGGACCUGACCUCAUAUCAAUGACCCAACUCUCCAGCACAACUAGUCCUAGUGCUGGUGUCAUUUUCCCCAAAGGAAGACUUAUCAGAGGAGUGAUGGAUAAUUUCUCUCCUUUGUGGAGUAGUACUCCAAUUAAAUGCAAAAUCACCAAUUUACACAAAGAAAAUUCAGGGGGGAACCCGCUUUCAGGCCGGGCCUCCUUCAGCACAGCAGCCAAUCAGAGACUUCUUAGACCUCAUGAUUCCUUGAUUGGCUAAUUUAAACAUAUCUAAAAAUUCUCCUCCAGUGUUGGUUGACCCGAGUCAUGAUGAGUUUAACUGUGAUAAGUAAAGAGAUAAUAAGACAAUAGGAUAUAGGGCAGUGCGUAUAGAUAUUCCCAGCAGUGGAUCCAGAGUCUACAAUGAAUCAGGGCAGUGUAUAACAGAUUCCCAGUAGUGCAACUUAUCACACAGGAAUGCUGAUGUUUAUACAAUGACACAUUGUAUGAUUUGGAUGGUCGAGAAAGCAGUCUGUGCUUUUAGCAGAACUCACAAAAAUCUAGAUUGCUAUAAUAAGUCCCACUGAAAUAUGAAGGACUUCCUGGAUGAUGUCUGAAGGUAUACCUGGGUGUGGAACUCAGGUUAUGAUGACAGCAGUAAGUAUCAUGACAUCAGGGUUUGACCUUUGACCGCUCUCGUUAGCCCUAGCUGUCCCCUCAUUCAGGAUCCUUCAAGUGUGUCCAUCACAUCUCUCACAUUCAAAUCAUUGUCUGGGUCUUUUGAUCAAAUGCUUUUAAGUGUAGCAAACUAUUUUUAAAAAGGAGCACACCAAUAACAAUACUUCCUUUUCAGAAUUUCAUACAAUGUUUCUUGGCGUAAAAAAACAUCUGUGUACCCCUUCACUACUGUACAAUGUGCAGUAUCAGAACUCUACAUGUCCGUCUCACAGAAAGAUUCUGGACAGCGUGACCGCACCCCAGACAUCUUGACCACGGCAUGUGACUGCUCUGUGAGUGCAGGAGAACAGUGGCUGCACUAUCAGCUCAAGUGGCUAACAAUAAUGUUAAACUGUACCAUGUGACCAGCCUAAUGUUGUAAAGGUAGCUAACUCCAUCAAGCCCAACAGAUGACUGGUACUGUGAAGUACAGUGACCCCCCCUACCCCAGUGAUACCCCUUGCCCAUCCCCUUCCCCAUGAGAGCAUCAUAGCAAAUCAGAGAGCAGGAUUCGUGAUACACGCCUAUUCCCCUCUGACGGCAGUGUCUGCAGAAGAGACCCUCGAACCUCCCCGUGCCAAACCCCUGCCUUUACC